rnacentral:rRNA from 1 species
CGGCAAGAGCUCAAAUUUGAAAUCUGGCCCCUCCGGGGUCCGAGUUGUAAUUUGCAGAGGAUGCUUCGGGUACGGCCCCUGUCUAAGUGCCCUGGAACGGGCCGUCAGAGAGGGUGAGAAUCCCGUCUUGGGCAGGGUGCCCGUGCCCAUGUGAAGCUCCUUCGACGAGUCGAGUUGUUUGGGAAUGCAGCUCUAAAUGGGUGGUAAAUUUCAUCUAAAGCUAAAUACCGGCCGGAGACCGAUAGCGCACAAGUAGAGUGAUCGAAAGAUGAAAAGCACUUUGAAAAGAGAGUUAAACAGCACGUGAAAUUGUUGAAAGGGAAGCGCUUGCGACCAGACUCGGCCCCGGGGUUCAGCCAGCACUCGUGCUGGUGUACUUCCCCGGGGGCGGGCCAGCGUCGGUUUGGGCGGCCGGUCAAAGGCCCCAGGAAUGUAUCGCCCUCCGGGGCGUCUUAUAGCCUGGGGUGCAAUGCGGCCAGCCCGGACCGAGGAACGCGCUUCGGCACGGACGCUGGCGUAAUGGUCGCAAACGACCCGUCUUGA